rnacentral:rRNA from 1 species
GCGAACGCUGGCGGCAGGCUUAACACAUGCCAGUCGAGCGGGCACUUUCGGGUGUCAGCGGCGGACGGGUGAGUAACGCGUGGGAACGUGCCCUCUGGUUCGGAAUAACUCAGGGAAACUUGAGCUAAUACCGGAUACGCCCUUUUGGGGAAAGGCUUGCUGCCGGAGGAUCGGCCCGCGUCUGAUUAGCUAGUUGGUGAGGUAACGGCUCACCAAGGCGAUGAUCAGUAGCUGGUCUGAGAGGAUGAUCAGCCACACUGGGACUGAGACACGGCCCAGACUCCUACGGGAGGCAGCAGUGGGGAAUAUUGGACAAUGGGCGCAAGCCUGAUCCAGCCAUGCCGCGUGAGUGAUGAAGGCCUUAGGGUUGUAAAGCUCUUUUAUCCGGGACGAUAAUGACGGUACCGGAGGAAUAAGCCCCGGCUAACUUCGUG